AUGCCCUUCCUGAGAAGGAGGGGAUUUAGGGGAGACAGGCCGGGUUUGAGGUUAAGCCAGAGAAGUCAGAAGCCAAACAGAAGUUCUCCCAACAGACUUGAUAAUUUCAGUCCUCUACUUCAGAGACAAAGGAUGACGUCCUUUCCCAGAGAUGCCCAUCUCCCAGCGACGGUGACAUCGUGGCAAAGAGGAGCAUGACACAAAGCCACAAAGAGCCAGGCGGGUUCCCUGAGACGGAAAACACCCAGGAUUAGGGAGCUGGGUGUCAGAGGCCGUCACCACCUAGCGCCCUUCGUUUAGUUCCCAACUCCUCUGUCCAAUUCCUUAACCUCUAGGUCAAAGAUACACACACACCUGUCCAGAUCGCCCACCUUUUCUUUCCUUCAGCAUUCCAGAGCCCGGACAAAGGUAUCGACCGAGCAGGAAAAUAAAAAGAGGGCAUCUCUCCCGGAACAGUUCGGAUUAGAGAAGAGAGUCGUAAUCUGGGGAGAUGGAGCUUUGAAGCGCGGGAGGGGAGCGGGUCCCCUGACCCGCAGGCCCGAGUGAGAGACCGCGUUGGAGACAGGCCGGUAUAUUUUUGUGCAGCCUCAGCUAGGUGCAUCCCCUCGCCACCCCUUCCCAGGCCGCCUCCUUGGAAGACCCUUCCCCCGGCGCGCCCCACGGCUCUAGCUGCUCAUUUCGAAUCCACGAGGCCGGCAGGGAGAAGGCUGUUACUCCGACAGAGCGCGGGGG
rnacentral:lncRNA from 1 species